GAUGAACGCUAGCGGCAGGCCUAACACAUGCAAGUCGAGGGAGAAGCCCUUUCGGGGGCAGACACCGGCGCACGGGUGCGUAACGCGUAUGCAACCUACCUUUCACAGGGGGAUAGCCCGAAGAAAUUUGGAUUAAUACCCCAUAAUAUUAUUGGAUGGCAUCAUUUGAUAAUUAAAACUGCGGUGGUGAAAGAUGGGCAUGCGUCCUAUUAGCUAGUUGGAGUGGUAACGGCACCCCAAGGCUACGAUAGGUAGGGGUCCUGAGAGGGAGAUCCCCCACACUGGUACUGAGACAGGGACCAGACUCCUACGGGAGGCAGCAGUGAGGAAUAUUGGUCAAUGGUCGGAAGACUGAACCAGCCAUGCCGCGUGCAGGAAGAAUGCCUUAUGGGUUGUAAACUGCUUUUAGAUGGGAAGAAUAAGGCGUACGUGUACGUUGAUGACGGUACCAUAUGAAUAAGCAUCGGCUAACUCCGUG
rnacentral:rRNA from 1 species